CCACCGGCGUGCUGCAGGAGGAGCAGCCUCCAUCAGCAGUGCGCCGACGUAGCGUCUGUAGCCGCUAAGGAAUGUCCCGCGCCGACGGCGGCAGGCCAACCAGUGCGCGGAAUCACGGCCGCCGCAUCGAGACAUCUGCGGAAGCGCCUUCCAGACAUCGACUACGAAACGGUCCUUAGCGAUCGCCGGGAAACGAGAAGGAGGCAGGCGAGAGAGUCGGGGUUUUUGUUCCCCGGCGGCUCCCGGAUUCAAAGAUGGCGCUGCGGCUGGCUUGUUUUGCAUUCGGCCCGCGGCUUGCGCGGCGUGGGGCUUCAUGGACGGCGUCGGAAACGCGCGCUUCGGCGCAACGUCGGCGGCGCCAACUCGGGCUUCGUUCGAAUGUCGGUGGCCUCCCAUCGUCUCAUCGCCGCGCAGCCGGAUGUCGAGGCUGAAGUCCGUGUACCAGGAGGGAAAUAUACGACUCCAAUGGCGUAGCACAAAGCGGAAACGUGGAUCAGGAUAAAACGACGACGAUGACUCGACUCCGAGCUCCGAACGAAUGCUGAAGCGAACUCCGACUUCACCGACGUCACCUCCUAAGCAAGCAUUGCACCGAAACGAAAGCCACCCGCGCCGUCGGACAAACCAAAUGCGGGUCUUCAGAAUGCCAAUUAUCUGUGAAGGAUGCCGUAGGUCUCAGUAUUGACGUAUCAACAGAUAACAAAACAAAUAGAUCGCUGUUUAGGCAAGUAUUGAUCUAGUCUUAGACAGGAAGAAAGCUCAAACGAAUCCAAUGACUUGACGAGAUGUUCAGAAAUGUCCAAUUCUCGUCUGACCUGAUCAUUAUUUUUGGCAAGCUCUUCAGUAGAGUUUCUUUUACGCCAGUGGUUCAAGAUAUUGUCGAUUCAAUUAAGGUUACUAUCAUUAACACUGCUUGGAAUAUUCAACUUCCACGGCCAAAUAAGGGAUCUUUGUGCAUGGCUGUACCUUUGUGUACACGUUGAAAUGAUCUAUCAUGUGGACCUCAUGCCGUACUAGCGUGAAUAGGGUACUGCUUCCAGUCAAUGGAGCAUGAAAUCUCACGCAACACCCUUAGUACCUAUCGCUAAGUCAUUCGAUGAGUUGUUGUGGCCCUAAAAUUUUUAAGAGUUGCGUAGGUGGUCGAGCAAUGUAGGUAGUAGUGACGAUGUGAUACUCGAUUGAAACAAUCGCAACUAUGAACUGUUAUCAUAUUAUAUAUGGGAUACAGCUGUUUCAGGUAACAGUAAAAAUAAUGUUCAGAAACUAGUGGAAAGACGAAAACCUCUUAGGGAAGCAAUUUCGCACAUUCACCGGUGAUAAAGCGUAAUGUCUGAGCUCGUAAAACAAUUUGCUAAAUUAGCAAUAAAUCUAAAAACUGCUAAAUGUUCGGCACACUCACGAUAAAAGUUUCACAGCUCGCCAGAACAUUGAUAAUUCGUGCUUCGUUCAAAUAAUAAUGCCACAACUUUUAUUCCAAUAACUAUAAGGCGUCAUAGUUAAGGAGAAUUUUGAUAGACUUUUAUAUUCAAAACAAACUUUUUAUUUAUAGCUGUGGCAGAAUUCAUUUUAUCCUAAAUCAAAAGGUGCCCAAAGGUAAACUAAUUGCAUGUGUGUGCACAUGUACAGAUUGGAUAGGCUAAUGUAGUAGCGAAUACUGCUUAGAGAAAGCUUAUUGACGUUAUGUACAAAAAAUACAUGAUAAACAUUUCAUUUAUUCAUGGUUACAUACAAUCCUGUGUAUUACCGUGUUCAUUUUUUAAGUGGAGGUAAUUUUUAUUCCAUUUGUCGUAGCUAUAAGAAACUGGGCACCACUUUUUGUGCCCAAGUAUAUUUCGUAUUUCUACGUAUAUUUUUACUUGCCUGUCAACCAUACAAAUUAGCAUCUCCCGUAUGAGUUAUUUUCAAUGUCAGUGUGACAAUUCUCGAUAAGUUCCUUCUUUUUUAUGUAUACUCCUGCAAUGCAAAUGCAACAUAAUUUUAAUUUCGUAUGAGUAAGCCAAAGUUGCUCCGAGAUGGGUCGGAGUUGAAUACGAGUGGUUUUUGUACCUUUUCUCAGGGAUAAUUUGACCAUUGGAAUGCUACUGACACAUCUACGGAAACAUUGGGCUCGUGCUUACAGGUACAUUAAAGAGAAACAAUGACUUCGUUUAGAUAGAAAAACUGCACUGUGAGAAGUCUAACGACAUAUGUUUCCCUAUUAUAAGCUCAUCACUAUGGCAGAAAAUCGAGGUUGAAGUUUCAUUUCUGAAUUUCACUCUGAAAUAUCCAUGAGUGAUGUAUAAAAUUGCAAAAUGUUUUUUUUUUUCCUAUUUUUGUGAUAUUGACAGUAUGAGAUUUUCUGAAACUUCGUAUGAUAGGUCUCUGGCACCUACAGAUGGCAAUUUACUUCAUUUUUAUUCAUUAGAAGAUACAUAGAACCCAGUAGGCACCUUCAGAAUUUGUGACGUCAUGGUGUUUGGCGCGGGAACAUCAAGGUGCCGUUUCCACCCGCAUUUUCUUUACGCGCGUUUUCACGCUUACCAAGCGUCGUGUCGUGGCAAGAAUGGGGUAGCAGGAUUGUGAAAUUGUACCUUACUAAUACGCGAGAAAAUUGUUUUGCUCUUUAGUUUACCUUUAAAUGCAUACGGGGGAGAUGUAGUCUUCUUUUUUGCAUAGAGGGCUUAUCGCCAUGUUCAUAAACAAAGCGAUUACGUAGUGCUGAUGUUGAAUUUUGUGAAAGCCAUGGUGCGACGUUGUGUUUGUUACAUGUCUUAGAAAGGUUUCUCGAAUCCAUCCUUUGUGAACCUCUUGCAAUGUCAUCCUACAGGUCGUGUCAAGUAAUACCUUGAUAUAUCUGUCCUGUACAUCGACGCAUUGCGCGGAAGUAUUGCUGCUUAGAUAAGAUACGGUUGACUACAACGUCUUACCGUCUCCCAUUAAUGUUGUCAUCUUCCAACUACUUUUACAAUUACCGUAACCUUUUUCGGUGCUUGCGUGGAUGUAUGCUUCUUCUGCGAACUAACAUUCAGCAGCGCAAGCUCUUAAAGGUCUCAUGGUGCACAAAUGAUGUACAGGGUGUCUCUUUUCAAUUGCAACUGUUUUUUUUUUUUCGUAUAUUGCAUGCUACAGUCAAUGUGGAAUCGUGUCGUAUGUUUCCUUUGUGAAAAGUGGACUGUUUGGUUUGUCAGGUGUAUAUGUGCAGCAGAGUGACAUGAAUGCAUUAAUGUGUGCUAAUUACUGUCAUGUUUGAGGAUAAGUCAGAGAAAUAGAACCCUUAGGCUUGCAAUUUGGUAGCUGAAGUGAUUUCAGAACACUAUUCGCAGCGUUUAUGUUCCUUCUUUAGAAAACCUUAACGACGCGAGAUUGCGAUUUGCGGCUAUAUAUAUUUUUAAGCACAAACAUAUAUUGCUCUAUCCUAUGAGAAAAAAAAAUGUUUCGAAAUAGCUUAGCAGAUAAAAUCACUAUAAAAUAUUCAAGUCUGUUAUUAUGAUGACCAUAAAUCUAGCCUCUUAGCAUUAUAAGUCUGCAUUUGUAGUGAAAAACGCCAGCCUACGUUUGUGAAACCUUCUGAUGACAUGUGACAAAGCUUGCCCAUUGUGAAAAUACUUGUGCCAAUGGGAUGUGCCGUAACCGCUGUUGUCAACUGCAUGUGGUGUCGUCCAUUGUUUGUAUGCUAAGCCCAUGUGGCUUUCGCCGUGUCUUCUCUGUCUGUUCUGCUACUCUCAACCGAACACAAGUUAAGCGCAUCUCAGGAAACUGUAUACCCUAGGCGCACGGCGCAUUCUGGGUUGUGCAUGGUACACCCUGUGGCGCCUGCACUCGGCCUCUCUGUCUCUCCCUUGCCCUCCUUCGACGCGUUUACACCUUCAGUAUUGGUGCUUCCAGGUGCAUAGCUGUAGACUUGCAAGGUUGCCGCAGAGGAUCGUUGAUUCGAGGCUGAUUAUAUAAGAACGGCCAUGAAUCCUGUAGUGUACCGUGAUGCGGAUGAAUGAACUUAUGCGUUGUUAUCGAAUAUUUAAAAUGAAAAAAAAAGUGAGGUCAAGAGAAUGCAGCAAAGGCAAGCAGGUUAACUAGACUUUGUUCAGCAUGCUACCCUGCACGUGGGGUAGGGAAUGGUGGUAGAAGAGAAAGAGAGGGAAAGCAUGAAAGUAGACUGCAGUAGACAAGCACAGUGCAGUAACUGUGACACUGCGGUCUCUUCAGUUGAAUUUGUCAGUGCACAUGAGUCAAACCGUCUUCCCAUCGUGAUAGCUCUAUUGAGUAUGUAUCCUUACAUACUAUCCUUGUUUCGCAAGUGACACUGUAGCAAUAUGUGCACAUUACCAAGUUUGAACAAUGGAGAUAUUGCUGUUUAUAAAGCAUUCUAUCUAUAGACUGGUUCAGUUUGCACAGUGUCCGGUAACGGCUAAGCAAACAUUGACGAACUGGUACACGCGCAUGCUGCAAGUCGUCUUUGAGAAUGGAUCUAUCAAGUUUACAGCGUGCCAACGCUCAAAGUCAAUCAGUCUAAACAAAGGAACCAUGCGCGCCUAUUCUGGCACGUAUAGUCGUUUUGGUAAGUAUUGAGGAACCACGUCGAAGCAAAAUGAUUGGAAAAUUAAUGGAAGUCCACGGCUACAAAAUUACCAUAGCGUGCUCAUUCACUAGCUCUCCCGCUUAUUUACCUGUGGGUAUAAGUGAUCUAUAUUGCUGAAGUUGAUGUUUCCGAAAGAGGGACUUAACAUUCAGCAAUGCUUCAGAGUGCAGGGUGUAUACUGAUCUCCUGUACAGGACUGCAAGACAUGACCGUCAGUGUGUAAACGCGAAAGUGCUCAGUGUACAGAACCAGUUCGUUGCCGUGAGAACAUGAACACUUUUCAAAACUGUUACUCAACAUUAAUUGUCGCUUCAUUUGCCCUCAGCUGGUCGCUUCAAAUCUUCGUCGCGCCAAGAUCCCGUUGUUUUGUGUUAAACUGGUGAUGUGUUUCAGCAGCUAAUAGUAGCCCCGCUUGGCCAUCGAAAGAGAAGGCCUGUCUAUAUUUAUGUCAGUAUAUACGCAUAUGAACACCAUUUAUCCCUCAUGUGUUUAACCUUUUCUGACAAAUUUUGCCAAUGGGACAGUGCGUGUGGAAUAGAAACAUUAUUAAAACUCAAAACUGCAAUGAACCAGAGAAAGUUCGUCCUUUUGAUGUUGAGUGUCUGUCUCGGACAUUAAAGCAAGUUUAUGUUGGGCAUAAUAUGUAUCUUCUAAAAAAACAGAUAUGUACAGACUUGGGUGUAUAUGCGCUAUAAAUACUACCCAAUUCCGUAAAAACGUCUCUUCGGACUGAAACUUACAAUACAUAUGCCAUUAUAACAACUCCUUCCUCACGCUCACUAUACCAUGUGAGUACAUCAUGGUGCAUCUUUCUGCCGUUUCCUCUUUAUUACCAUACAACCGGUAAUGCAUAAAGAUUGUUCCGUAACUGCGAUAACUCAAAGUUUGGCUUAUUGUACGAGCCAGCACGUGGUUCUUCCUUUCGAGGUGCUUGACAUUGUGCUAAUGCGUACCGUGCUAACCAUCGCCACCCUGUUCCCUUGAAAUGUCUAAUGUAUUAAUGAAACAUUAAAAAUUGAUUUAUUUACUCCGAAA